AACACCUUCUUCUCUCCUCUGGACGUUCAUAACCUGCAGCAUAACAAGAGAAAUUUUCAGAGAAAAAACAAUGAGAAAGAAGAGAAAAAGUGAGAGAAAAAUCAGAAAAAAAAAGGGAAAAUUAACCACGACCUUAGAUGACUUUCUUCCAUCCUCUAGCUCAAUUCCCUGCUGUGUAAAAGAUCAGAAGUCCAGCCAUGAGUUCAGUUUAAGGGGAGGAUUAUCUGAGUUCAGAUGGCCAUCAGUUGCUGUUGUCAGUAGUUGAGUAAAGUUUAAAGGAUCACCUUGCUCAUCCAGUAGAACCGUACAAAGUCUAGAUGGUUAAGGAGAGUGGUCGGAUCAGCCGGAUCCUUGUGGUGGUUUUCAAUCAAGAAUGUUCCAGAAGCCGAGUGUGAUUAGCUUGAGCUUGAGUCUAGUCUUCCUUAGCCAAUCUCAUGGAUUUAAAGGUGAGUGUAGAUAGUUGAUUAAUUAAAGAGAUAUGAAUUAGUGUUGCAUGAUUGAAAAUGUAUAUGAUUGAUAGGCUUUGUCUCUUGAUCAAUAUUGAAUUGGUGAGGUGUUUACUUAGUGUAAAAGCUUAUUAAAUAUUCAUGAAUGUUCAUAGAGGUUUACUCCCGAGCCAUAGUACUUGUUCUCAAGUACUAAUAUAUAAUAUAAUUAAGUAUGGAAGUAUUAAUCAUGUGAAGUCUUAUUAUAAACCUGUCUUCCAAAAUAUUCCCGUAUGAAUGAUUAUUACUGUGUAUUGUUCCUGUGAUAUAGAACAAGGUCACGAAGACACGAUGAUAGGGUCGCACCUGGAGGCCGUGUAACUGCACGCAGCGUUAGAUGUUCGAUCUUUGAAUAUCUGAUGGCGA